GUGAGGAAUUUUGCGCAAUGGCCGCAAGGCUGACGCAGCAACGCCGCGUGGGUGAUGAAGGCCUUCGGGUCGUAAAGCCCUGUCAGGUGGGAAGAAAGGCCUUAAGGAGAAACGCUUGAGGUUUGACGGUACCACCAGAGGAAGUACCGGCUAACUCCGUGCCAGCAGCCGCGGUAAUACGGAGGGUGCGAGCGUUAUUCGGAAUUACUGGGCGUAAAGCGCGUGUAGGCGGGGGGACAAGUCUGAUGUGAAAGCCCUGGGCUUAACCUGGGAAGUGCAUUGGAAACUGUUUUUCUUGAGUACUGGAGAGGAAGGGGGAAUUCCCGGUGUAGAGGUGAAAUUCGUAGAGAUCGGGAGGAAUACCAGUGGCGUAGGCGCCCUUCUGGACGGUAACUGACGCUGAGACGCGAAAGCGUGGGGAGCAAACAGGAUUAGAAACCCGAGUAGUCC
rnacentral:rRNA from 1 species